rnacentral:rRNA from 1 species
UACGUAGGGGGCGAGCGUUGUCCGGAUUCAUUGGGCGUAAAGAGCUCGUAGGCGGUUCGGUAAGUCAGGUGUGAAAACUCCAGGCUCAACUUGGAGACGCCACCUGAUACUGUCGUGACUAGAGUCCGGUAGGGGAGCAUGGAAUUCCAGGUGUAGCGGUGAAAUGCGUAGAUAUCUGGAGGAAUACCGGUGGCGAAGGCGGCAUCCUGGACCGGCAUUGACGCUGAUGAGCGAAAGCUAGGGGAGCAAACGGG